rnacentral:lncRNA from 13 species
AGGAAAUGUAGCUUUAGUCCUAGGAACAUGGUGGCCACAGCAGAGACACGGGGCCCACAGCAUCCUGCACCUCGGAGAUUCCAGGGAUAGGAAGGAUUUGGCAUCUCAUUUUCUAUCCUCCACAGGGAAACAGAAUCCCUCAGGCAAGAUCAGCACAGAUGGACCCCAACACGCUCUCCAUGGAACAGGGGAAGGAGUUCUUAAAGAAGUGUGGGAUCCCACAAAGAGAUAUUGAUUUGAUGACAGAGAAAUGGGUUGUUCUCGCCUCUGUGGAGGUUCUUCUGCGAUUUCCUCUGAGGUCAGGAGAGGAUCCAACCGCCCGCUGUGUCUCCAAUAAAAGAUGCCAGCCUUCCGUGGACCGGCCAUCCACAGUUUCACAGAGAUGUGGAUACCGAGAGGAGAGGAAACCCAACAACCAAUUAAUGAAGAAGACUGAUCGGAAAGUCAAGGACCUGCCACAGGUGGCAGGUGAUUCCAUCCGUCAUCAGGCUCAGAGGCCCAGGACAGCCAAGAACCCACAGAAGCAGCAGAGGAAACCCGUGCGG